rnacentral:rRNA from 1 species
CUGCUGCCUCCCGUAGGAGUCUGGGCCGUGUCUCAGUCCCAAUGCGGCCGAUCAACCUCUCAGUUCGGCUACAGAUCGUCGCCUUGGUGAGCCUUUACCUCACCAACUAGCUAAUCUGACGCGAGUCCAUCCAUAAGCGAUAAAUCUUUCAAAUAUCUGCCAUGCGGUAAAUAUUCAAUAUGCGGUAUUAGUCCACGUUUCCAUGGAUUAUCCCCCUCUUAUGGGCAGGUUACUCACGUCG